GCCGCUCCGGAUGAGGUGAUGGCAACGGCUAACUUCGGCAAGAUCCAGAUCGGGAUUUACGUGGAAAUCAAGCGCAGCGAUGGCCGAAUACACCAGGCAAUGGUGACAUCAUUAAAUGAAGAUAAUGAAAGUGUCACAGUCGAGUGGAUAGAAAAUGGAGACACAAAAGGAAAAGAGAUUGACUUGGAAAGCAUCUUUUCACUUAACCCUGACCUUGUACCUGAUGAAGACAUUGAGCCAAGUCCAGAAAUACCUCCACCCUCCUCAUCCUCAAAAGUAAACAAAA
rnacentral:lncRNA from 1 species